AGAGGAUGCAAAUGCACGCGCUCAAACUCAAGUUCAUGCUCUCUCCAGCUCUGAUAAGUUUCUCCUCUCUCCCCCGUUUUUUCUUCAAAACUAAACCCUUUUCUUCUUCUGCUUCUGCGGAGUUUUCACCAUGGUCCGGUCUACAAGCCUGGCGGGAAAGCCCGCUCAACGAGAACCGGAUUUGGGGACCCAAUGGCCCGGAACCUUCGUCACUAUCACCUCCCUCUUCAAUUUGCUUUAAUGAUUAUGGAUUGGAUUCUGCUUCCUCUCUUGCCGAGCUUGGUGCUUUGGUUCUUUCCACUAGCGAUCCCCUCACAAAAUCCAAUCUUUCUCAUCUCGCUUUCUCCAGGUGGCGCAACGAGAAUCUUCCCAUUGGGGCCUAUGUUCCGCCUGCUAAACCUGCUCGCCCUCGUAAACCCGAAUUGGUUCGUUCUUCACAGUCAACUUGUUGGAAUUUGUUCUUUUAUGGAUAUGGUUGUUUGAUACUUCUCAUUUCUUGCGCUUAUUGUUAUGUUCUGAUGUUCUUUUAAUAGGGUCUCAAAAAGUGUUUAUCAUUCAUGUAUGGCUUACUUACAUGCCAUCCAUUAAAGUCAUUUUUGUUACCUUGAAGGCUUGAACUUAAGAUAGCAUCAACGAGUAUCGUUUUUGACGGUCCUGCAAUGGAGGCACGGCUUUAAGUAUGGGUAGUUUAUUUUGAUGGGAUUUAUUCUUUUAAUUUUUGUGUUGUAUUUGUCCCUUUUUACAUUUCAAAUCAUCAAAGUUCAAGUUUUGGAAAUUUUGUAGUUCAGCUAUGGCUAAUAUAUUCAUUCAAUUUUAAGUGAUUUGGUGAUGUGGGUGCUACUAUUGCUUAUUCUAUGGAGAGAAUGAUUUGGUGAUGUGGCUUACUGCUUUUUUCCUUAUUCAUUACAUUUAACCUUGUUGGCAUCUAGAGUUUAUUUUCGAUGAACCCCCUUCAUUGUUGAUGUGGUAGUUAGAUAUUCACGUGUUCAUCUCUUGCCUAUAUUUGUGGCAUUUAGGUUUCCCCAAAGGAAAUUCCGGCCCCCAAAGAUUCUGGCUUACCUCUAAAUGCAUAUAUGCUCCACAAUCUUGCUCAUGUGGAGCUCAAUGCAAUUGAUUUGGCAUGGGAUACAGUUGUUCGAUUUUCACCUUUUAGUGAGACUCUGGGAGAAGGAUUCUUUGCUGACUUUGCACAUGUUGCUGAUGAUGAGAGUCGCCAUUUCGCAUGGUGCUCUCAGAGACUUGCCGAGCUUGGUUUCAAGUAUGGAGAUAUGCCUGCUCAUAAUUUGUUGUGGAGGGAAUGUGAAAAAUCGUCUGACAAUGUUGCUGCACGAUUGGCUGCAAUCCCACUUGUCCAGGAGGCAAGAGGACUUGAUGCUGGGCCAAGGCUAGUGAAAAAGUUAAUUGGUUUUGGAGACUCUAAAACAUCUAAAGUUGUGGCUAGAAUUGCUGAUGAGGAAGUUGCGCAUGUAGCUGUCGGUGUAUACUGGUUUGUCUUUGUCUGUCAGAAAAUGGGCUGUGCCCCUUGUUCUACUUUUAAAGACUUGUUGAGAGACUACAAUGUGGAAUUGAAAGGGCCCUUUAAUUAUUCAGCUAGAGAUGAAGCUGGGAUUCCCCGUGACUGGUAUGAUCCAUCUUUUACAAAUAAACAAGACAACAAUGAGAAGAAGGGUACAAAUGAGCAGCUCUCUGUGGUUUAUGAGAGACUUGCUUCUAUCAUCUCUAUGGAGUGUGAAAAUGCAAGUAUGAAUAAGCCCCCAGGUUGAUACUUAUUUAAUAUAGCAGCUUACACUCUAGAUGUUAUACUGGUAAGUGAAGUGUCAUGCAAAAUUUCCAAUCUGGUUGGCAUUUCAACCAUUUUGUCCACGGGCAACAAUUUGAGCCCUAGUGCUGUACUUUCUCUCUCUAACCAGUAACUUGAGGCAUAUCAUUGUGAAUUGGAAAUUGGAACUACAUUCUCAUUUAUAUUGAGGCCCUGCGCUUAAGCUUUCCAGCUUCCAUAGAAGUCUACUGAACUUGGUGGCAUUGGACUAUUUUUACUUCAUUACCAGGUGUGGCCUGUAUGAUCUGUGAAAGUAGAGGAAUGGUGUAUUUGAGUGUAUUCAAUAUAAUUAAUUAUCCAUAACAUGUAAUUAAGUGGCUCCUCUCCAAAUCCAAUGACACAGAACGGAGCAGCCACCAUAAAAGGAGCAAGUUAGAUGUAAAUGUUUCUUUGAUCUGAAUUUAUUUUUUCAUGUUGUUAAUAUAACACAUGCUUCCAG
rnacentral:misc_RNA from 1 species